rnacentral:lncRNA from 1 species
UGGUUUGGUCCUUUCUCAAACCUCGCUCAUAGAGGGAGAUUAGUGUGCCAUGCUGCCACUUAUAAGAUGCACUACAGUUGUCAGUAUUGCUGUUUGUUUCUGCUUUUUUUAUCCAAUCAUCAUUGCUGCUCCCUUUUGCUUUUUAACUUCAUAUUUUUUGCUGGUUUCUUGAUUACAUAAAUUAUGAUACAUAAUCUUGAAUAGCCUUUUGUGUUUUACAUGAUAUGCACAAUGACAUGUGGAUCCAAGUAUGGGUUAGUGAUUUUAUCUAUUACAACUAUUUUUCAUUACAUCAUUACUUUUUACUCCCAUUUGAAUACUUGAAACUUUCUGCCGGUUUCUUUCUUGGUUCAAAUGUACUACAGAAUCUUGAAUACCCUUUUGAAUCUUACAUGAUCCAAGAUCGAUUAUUCUUUUCACGCAUUAGUCGUUCUAUCAAUCCUUACCAAUAGAUUUACUAAUGUGAGGAAUAUGAUUUAACUGUUUCAUGAUUAUGCUUUUCGGCUUUUCCUACCUUAUAUUAUGUCAGAUCGUUGUCUUUUCAGUUCGUUAAUCUGAAGAUUUGAGAUAGUUAUUCAAUUUUUCAGAGGGAUCCAAACAUAAACAUAUGGGUAUCAUUAUGCGCGGACUUCAUAUUUGAGUGAUAUAAUCAAUGGUACCAUUAUGCUUUUAUUUCAAUGAUGUUCAAUAACAUCAUAUAAUUCUCUGUUCCCUUUGCAUCUGGAAAAAAAAAUUGGUCUAGUUAUUGAGUUUUGCUAUUCUUUUAGAAAGGAGGAAAUCGAAAAAAAGCACAAGUGUGGUCUGAAAUAUUCUCUCUAUGCAUUAUGUUGGUUAAGAAGCCCAAGAUUCUUUGAAGGAAUUAAAAUUUCCCUGCAUAGCUUGCAAUACUUUAGUUUACAGUUUCGGGUUUCUGGUGCAGCUCAAAAAAACAAAUAUGAUUUAAAUGUUUUCUUGGAUUCAUGGCUCCCUACCCCUUAAAAAGGGACCUACAUUGAGAAGAAGCACAAGUGUGGUAUGAAAUAUUAUCUUUUUUUUUUAGAAAGGAUCUGAAGGCUGGUUAAGAGUGUGAUGGAGGGGUGGAAUGCGUAUAUCAUUUGUCUGCAAGAACCAAAUUAGAGGGGAAAUGGAAGAAAAGGUUAGACAAAUCUGGGAAUGUGAUGGAUCAAAUAUGCAAGAGAUUUGCAAACACUCUAUCUCCCCAUACCUCACUUGUGGGAUUACACUGGGUUUGUUGUUGGGUUAUACAGAAGAGAAGCCAAAUUUUCUUUUAAGGAAUCAAGAAUUCUGUGUGUAGCUUCAAACUCUUUAGUUAAUAGUUCUGCUUUUUGGUGCACCUUAAAAUGUGUUCAUGACAUAAAUGUUUUUGUGAAUUUGGUAGCUCCUUAGUCUUUGAAAAGGGACCUACUUCUUUGUACAUUUUGUAAUUUUGAACUCAUAACUUCCUUUUGCGAGUUGUUGAAAUGGAUACUCUUUACUCGUUCAGAAAACUGAAGAAAGUAUACUUUGCCGUUAGCUCUUCAUUUCAUAGCAUCAAGCUCUUACAAUAUCCAACCAUGAAGAAAGUUAUUUUCCUCUUGUUUAUUUAGUUUCAUUCGUACUUGAGAUCUGAGAUCAUUUUCUAAUUGGUUGACAAUGGAUUUCAGCUAAUCGUAGGAAAAAGUAUUUGUACCUAUAUUCCAAG